rnacentral:rRNA from 1 species
CAGUCGCCACGGUAAUACGAAGGUCCCGAGCGUUGCUCGGAAUCACUGGGCGUAAAGGGAGCGUAGGCGGCGUGGUAAGUCAGAUGUGAAAUCCCGGGGCUCAACCCCGGAACUGCAUCCGAUACUGCCACGCUAGAGGAUUGGAGAGGUAGCUGGAAUUCUUGGUGUAGCAGUGAAAUGCGUGGAGAUCAAGAGGAACACUCGUGGCGAAAGCGAGCUACUGGACAAUAACUGACGCUGAGGCUCGAAGGCCAGGGUAGCGAAAGGGAUUAGAUACCCGUGUAGUCCCUGUCUCUUAUAA